GGAGGGGUGGGCAGUCCUGCUGCAGGGGGACCGGUGCCCCCAUGGAGAGGGCGCCGGGUUGAGGGGUUCCCCUGGGAGCUUCACUGGAGCUGGGACUUGGAGGCGCUGGCCAGAGAUGAGACGAGAGGGGAUGCCCAAGGGUGGGGACGGCCUCACUGAGGCCCAGGAGACAAUCUGGCCUCGAUCCCCAGCACUCAGGGACCUUUCAGAAACCCACCCCGAGGGCAUUGCCCUCCUUCUCAGAAGCCCUCCAAGACACAUGGUCGGCAUCCAGCUCAUCCCUUGCCCCCAAGCCCUGCCUCUGCUUUCUAGGCGGGAAAGACCAGCUCUCUCCCCGCUGCCUCCCUCUAGGCUUCAAGGAAGGAGAAGGGCGUUGGGCAGGGAGCAGACGGAACGGGCGGGUCAUCCGUAGCGCCUCCUGCAACCUCCCAGCACAGUUCCAUAUCAUCUCCAUCAGCCCAGGGCCCAAGAAGGUGAGCCGAGUCCAGCCCCCAAGUGGGCUGUGUGUAGACUUCAGGCUAUUUCAGGUUUCCUAUUUGGACUCUUAGGAAUUUUCUCGAGUAUACACACAUUGCCUCUGUAGCCAGGACAGUGGUUUUCAAAUUGAAGUACAGUUGCUUUACAAUGUUAUGUUAAUUUCUGCUGUAUGGCAAAGUGACUCAGUUACACACACAGACGCCUUCUUUUUUUAACAUUCUUUUCCAUCACGGUUUAUCCCAGGAGAUUGGAUAUAGCUCCCUGUGCUAAACAGUAGGACCUAGUUGCUUAUCCAUCCUAUGUAUGUAGUAGUGUGCAUCUGUUAGUCUCAAACUCCCAGGCUGUCUUCUUCCCCUUUCCCUCCCCCUUGGCAACCACAGGUCUGCUCUCUCCGGCUGCGAGUCUGUUCCUGUCCUGGGGAUCGGUUCAUUUGUGCCACGUGUUAGACUCCACAUAUAGGUGAUAUUUUGCGAUGUCUGUCUUUCUCUGACCGACUUCACUUCCUGUGAUAAUCUCCGGUUGCACCUGUGUUGCUGCAAAUGGCAUGAUUCUGCUUUUCUUUAUGGCUGAGUAAUGUUCCGCUGUGUCUAUGUACCACCUUUUCUUUACCCAGUCAUCUACUGAUGGACAUUUAGGUUGCUUCUAAGUCUUGGCUACUGUAAACAGUGCUGCAGUGGACAUAAGGGUGCCUGUAUCUUUUUGAAUUAUAGCUUUGUCUGGAUAUAGGCCCAGGAAUGGGAUUGCCUGGGUAGUUGACUUUUUAGUUUUUAAAGGAACCUCCAUACUGUCCUCCAUAGUGGCUGCACCAAUGUACAUUCCCAUCAACAGUGUAGGAAGACUCCCUUUUCUCCACACCCUUUCCAGCGUUUGUUAUUUGUAGACUUUUUAAUCAUGGGCGUUCUGCCUGGUGGGAGGUGGUGCCUCACUGUAGUUUUGAUUUGCAUUUCUCUAAUAAUUAGCCAUGUUGAGCAUCUUUUCAUGUGCUAUUGCUCAUCUGUAUGUCUUCUUUGGAGAAAUGUCUAUCUAGGUCUUCUGCUCAUUUUUCGAUUACAUCAUUUUUUGUCGUUGAUUUGUAUGAGCUGUUUGUCUAUUUUGGAGAUUAAGCCCUUGAUCACAUCAUUUGCAAAUAUUUUCUCCCAUUCUGUGGGUUGUCUUCUUUGCUUUUUUUAAUGGUUUCCUUUGCUGUGUGAAAGAGGAGAGUGAAAAAGCUGGCUUAAAAUUCAACAUUCAGAAAACUAAGAUCAUGGCAUCCAUUCCAAUCACUUCAUAGCAAAUAGAUGGGGAAAGGAUGGAAACAGUGACAGACUUUAUUUUUGAGGGCUUCAAAAUCACUGCAGAUGGUGACUGCAGCCAUGAAAUUAAAAGAUGCUUACUCCUUGGAAGAAAAGCUAUGACCAACAUAGACAGCAUGUUAAAACGUAGAGACAUUACUUUGCCAACAAAGGUCCGUCUAGUCAAAGCUAUGGUUUUUCCAGUGGUCAUGUGGAUGUGAGACUUGGAUUAUAAAGGAAGCUGAGCGCCAAAGAAUUGAUGCUUUUGAACUGUGGUGUUGGAGAAGACUCUUGAGAGUCCUUUGGACUGCACGGAGAUCCAACUAGUCCAUCCUAAAAGAAAUCAGUCCUGAAUAUUCAUUGGAAGGACUGAUGCUGAAGCUGAAACGCCAAUACUUUGGCCACCUGAUGUGAAGAACCGACUCAUUGGAAAAGAUCCUGAUGCUGGAAAAGAUUGAAGGUGGGAAGAGAAGGGGAUGACAGAGGAUGAGAUGGUUGGAUGGCAUCACUGACUUGAUGGGCAUGGAUUUAAGCAAGCUUUGGGAGUUGGUGAUGGACAGGGAAGUCUAGCGUGCUACAGUCCAUGGGGUUGCAGAGAGCUGGACACGUCUGAGUGACUGAACUGAACUGAACUUGCUGUGCAAAGCAUGUCACAGAAGGAUCGACUGCCCACCCCUCGACUCAGCAGGUGUGACUGACGUCUUGCCCACCGGAGGAUGCAGAGGUCAUACAGUUGAGGCCCCUACCCUGCUGCUCUUGAAGUUUUUGGCAGCCAUGCAACAGGGGACCCCAAACUCCACGUCAGGGAGACCACACGAGAGGACUUGAGGCCUCAUGAAGAAAGAACCCCCACCAUCUGUUUGCAGCACCACCUUCCACCUGAGACCCUGACCACAGAGUCCCUGGGAGACACUCAUGGUUUGAACUGUGUCCUCUGGAGAAAGACAUGUUGGGGUCCUAACCCUCAGGACCUCAGAAAGUGACCUUAUUCAGUGAUAGGGCUUUCAUAGACGCUGCCAAGCUACACUGAGUCAUUAGGGAGGGAUCAAAUCCAACAUGACUGGUGUUCCUGGAAGAAAAGAAAACUGGACAUGAGACACAGGGAAAUACCGGGUGAAGAUGAAGGCAGAAAUCCAGGUGAUGCUUCUGCAAGCCGAAGGCCGCCACAGUGGCCAGCAGCCACCAAAAGGGAGCAGAUUGUUUCCCAGAACCCUCAGGACCAACCAGCCCCGGGACACCCUGACCUCAGGCUUCUGGCCUCCAGAACGUGAGACUAUACCUCUCUCUUUUCUGAGCCACCUGGUGGGGGCGGUCCUUUGUUCCAACAGCGCUAGCAAAGGAAUACAGGAGAUAAUAAAAUGGUUGUUGUUUUCGGUCAAAAUUCAGUUUGGGUCUGGUUUGUUACACAGUACUACCCAGCUGGAAUAUUCUCCCACCAAAGUGGAAUCUCUUUGAAGGCAGGACCCACUGGCAUGUGGUAUAUGCUUAUUAAAUGAGUGCCGGUUGAUCGGCCGCCAUUGCCCUCAGGCGCAUCCCUGGGCAGCCCUGCUGCGCCAGGUCCAUCCUCCUGGGUGUAGGAAGCCUGGGCUGCGAACUCAGAAGCGACUGAGCGGCCAUCACAGGCCUGGGAACCGGAGUGAAACCCCCCUGGUGAUGCAUUUCCUGAGAGAGCCCAUGCCUGGGAAAACAGGAAGGUUAGUGCCUAUGCGUUUUUAUGGGCACCCAACGUGAGAUUUCAGAGGAUGGAGGCCUGGGCGGGAACAAUGAGUGUGAGCUGUUAAAAGCCAGCAGGGAGGCAUAUGCUUUUGCAUUCAAGUGGGCCACACAAUUGAAUGGGUGCUGAAGAGAGCUCGUGUUGAUGACAAACGAAAACCCAGCUUGAGUUCUAGACUGUCUCUCUCAGUGCAGGGCACCCCGGGCAGCGAGAGCUAGGACUGCAGGACUGGAUCCUGUUAGGAGACCUGGAGGUCGUGGCAGCCAACCCCCUGCCUCCAGGUGACUGGGUGCCUACCAUCCAAAAUGGAAGGAUUCUUUUCUUACUUAAGUUUUUUUUUCAGAAGUGUUAAGGUUGAUAUGAUAUUUGAGUUUUAUUGGAAGGUACCAAGACAAACGUAAUACACAUUUGGGUCAUGGAAUCAGCUGUCAUGUCAGGAGAGCUUUAAGGAUAAGGAGAUAGAAGACUGGCAACAGUGGUGACUCCCCCCCAAGCAUGCAGUGCCUCGGGGACUGAGCUGCAUUCACGCUCAGGGCCCCGAACCCCAGAGCCAUGAUCUUAAUUACUGAGCUGCACACAGUGGUGCUGCAUAAUUGCACAGGGUGCUCCCACUGCCAGAUGAUUGGGAAGAACAGCCAGUGGAUGCCUGCCAGUCACUG
ensembl:lncRNA